GCCAUAGCUCAGUGAUAUAGCAUCUGUCUUGCAUGCAGAAGAUCCAGGCUCAGUUGCUGGUAUCUCCA